rnacentral:rRNA from 1 species
CGUAGGUGACCUGCGGAGGACAUUA